rnacentral:rRNA from 1 species
AUGGAUGAGGCAAAUCUUUUGCCUCCGUUUCAAAAGAAAAAAGUACAUACAGCGUGUGAUGACUUACAAUCCGAGCCGUUCCAGAAAGCGUACAACGAAUUAGAGAAUAUAUGUAUAGAUAAUAAGCCGAGGCUAGAGUUUAGCAAGAGUCAGGCACAUUUCUUCCUCGGACCACGGAGGGGUCCAGCGAAGCACACUUUGCCCGCAAGGAUGAUACGCUUCAAACUGCUGGGACGCGGGGAGGACGAAGUCACGAUGCACAUAGCAGACGAUGACAUGUACCAUCUCGGGUACAGCAAGAAGGUGCAGACGUACCACUUGAAAGGGUGGGGGAGCUGUUUGCCAACUGUGAUCCUCCGGCAAUCGAGCUCCCCUUCGACGAGAAGUACAAAUCGAUCCUGCCAGCGAGGGGGUCUAGCGGUCACAGAGAACUAG